UACGAAGGGGGCUAGCGUUGCUCGGAAUCACUGGGCGUAAAGCGCACGUAGGCGGAUUGCUAAGUCAGGGGUGAAAUCCUGGAGCUCAACUCCAGAACUGCCUUUGAUACUGGUGAUCUUGAGUCCGGGAGAGGGAUGUGGAAUUCCAGGUGUAGCGGUGAAAUGCGUAGAUAUCUGGAGGAACACCGGUGGCGAAGGCGACAUCCUGGACCGGUAUUGACGCUGAGGCGCGAAAGCCAGGGGAGCAAACGGG
rnacentral:rRNA from 1 species